UGGGGAAUAUUGCACAAUGGGCGAAAGCCUGAUGCAGCAACGCCGCGUGAGUGAUGAAGGCCUUCGGGUUGUAAAGCUCUGUCUUUUGGGACGAUAAUGACGGUACCAAAGGAGGAAGCCACGGCUAACUACGUGCCAGCAGCCGCGGUAAUACGUAAGUGGCAAGCGUUGUCCGGAUUUACUGGGCGUAAAGGAUGCGUAGGCGGAUUUUUAAGUGAGAUGUGAAAACCCUAAGCUUAACUUGGGGACUGCAUUUCAUACUGGAAAUCUAGAGUGCGGGAGAGGAGAAUGGAAUUCCUAGUGUAGCGGUGAAAUGCGUAGAGAUUAGGAAGAACACCAGUGGCGAAGGCGAUUCUCUGGGCCGUAACUGACGCUGAGGCAUGAAAGCGUGGGUAGCAAACAGGAUUAGAUACCCUGGUAGUCCACGCCGUAAACGAUGAGUACUAGGUGUAGGAGGUAUCGACCCCUUCUGUGCCGCAGUUAACACAAUAAGUACUCCGCCUGGGAAGUACGAUCGCAAGAUUAAAACUCAAAUGAAUUGACGGGGUCAUAGCUGUUUUCCU
rnacentral:rRNA from 1 species